rnacentral:lncRNA from 1 species
CUCUUGCUUCUUUUUCUAUCCAUCGCUCUCCUCCUCCUCUCUCCCUGGGUCCCGGCCACAUGCGAGAGGGUAGACUAGGACGCUGCAGCUCUGAAAAAAAAAAGAGGGGAAAAACGCUCUGCUGCUAUUUCUACAGGCAGGCCCUCCCCUUUAGCUAGUCUGUGCCAAAAGAGGGAGGGAUUUUUACUACUCCCAGUCCCAGGAUUUUAACCCUCUGCCUGCUCUUGCUUCUCUCUGCAAGAUCUUCUCCUCAAUAUCAUGCAACAAGUGGCUUCGCUUUACUCCUACUUCGACAUAACUGCGCCAUGUUUGAGACAUUUCGGAGGAGCAGCGUUGACUUCGCAGGCCGACUCCGAUCAAAUACAUUUUGCCAGUUUUCGCCGCCUCUAGGUCGUGGUCAGUAGAGUUAAACUGGACAGGGUGGAAUCUGGGUUUUUUUGAUUCGUGCCCUCCUGUGAUGCAAGGGCCUUUUUUCGAGCACGUGCUUCUCGAUUUCUCGCCAUGCUUCUUUUUACUCGUGAGCCGUCCCCGAGGAAGAAGACAGCAGCUUGUUUCCAGUGCGUUCCUUCAGCAGUUGCUUCAUUUUUUCGUACUACCUGUGCAUGUGUCCGGAUUUCUACAGAUGAUUUCUCAUGCAUUUUCCCUGUUCUCUUAUCUCUUCUGCCCUUCCUUCCUUCACCCUUCCAUCUCCAAACCUCUCCUUCUUUUUGGAUUUUUGCCCCACCCUCUCUUCCUCACGCUCUCCCCUUCUCCCUCUCUCCUUCUCUCUCUCUCUCUUUUUCUCUCUCUCUCUCACUCACUCCCUAUCUCUCUCACUCUCGUGGGCAGUCUCCAGUGAAAGGGGAGCAGGAGGGCGGGGCGACGACAGGGCUUUUUCUGGGACAGGUGCCAAUUCCAAACAAAAGACACAAAAAGCCAAAAAAGAGUGAGAUAGUUCCUGACUACUGGCAAAAAGUGGCAUGUUUCAAGAACUUAUUUGCAGGGUAGACAUGUGAGCAUUGGUAAACUGCUCUCCUGUUGCAGGACUUGAAGUUUUAGUUUGGCUUAAAGUGAGUAACUGCAGAGAUCUUGAAACCUCUCUCUCCCCCCCACCCUCCGCUCUCUUGCUCCCGUGAAGGCAUUUGAGUUUCGAGCAGGGGGGAAUAGAAGGAGGGGUGGGUGGAGUUGGGAAGGGGCAGUGGAAGGCGGGGUCAUGCCUACUCUCCUCCCUGUCGAGUCUUCUGCAUUAUUCAUAUGCCCGGGCCAGUGCUGCAAUCUGACUGGCUGCCUGGCUUAGCAUUCAGCCGACAUUCAGCAGCUCUGUUUGCUAACAUUCCUCAUUCAAAGCCUUGUUAACUGCCAGACGGGAGGAACACGCGACUCCAUGGGAGACCCACAUGGCCUCCUUAUUGUGGCGGGCCCUGACAGUUGCAGACUAGGGGGUGGCAGACACGGGAGAGCGAGGGGAGUCAGGUUGUAGAUGGUAGAGAGCAGUUAGCUGAGGUUUUGCAGGUUACCCGAGGCUUAGAGACCAGUUCUAGCCAAGGCGGCUGGAUUGACAGGGUAAAACCCAGACAGAUGGGCAGACAGACAUACAGACAUGGCGUUUAGGCAGACAGGAGGCUGGUACUUUCUGGGACUCUGAAUGGGUCUCUCGUUGGUGUGCCCGCCUACUCCUUGCAGGGAGUGCAGAGCUGUGUGACUGAAUUCGGGCUCCUUCUCUGCCCUUCUCUACAGACAGGAUAUGUGGACAUGCUGGGAGCAGCCACAGAGGGAUCAAGCACCACAAACGGCGGAGAUUUCGACGCUUUAUUCCGGAUAGCUGAUGACUGUAGUGUGUGUGCCAGUUCCCCUCAAAGUCUCAGUGGGUAAGUCAGAGAGUGUGUGUGGGUGUGGAGGUAAGUGUGUUUGUGCAUGUAUGCCUGUGCAAGUGUUUUUGUGUGAAAAAAAGACUCAAAUGCAGAGGUUUUACGUCUGAGAAAGGAUGAGACAAGCGCCUCAGUGCGGGUUUUGCUUUGCCCCGAUCUCCAUGUUCAUGUAUUGAAAACGUUAAGUCUGGGUGUUGAUUCUCGAGGACGACAUGACGACCCAGAGAGGGGAGGCUAACUGACUAUGGACGAACCAACGAGGGAAACGUGGCAAGGCCUUUGAAUUUUGGACGGAACUGAUCUAAUCUCUCCUCUCCUACGUUUUUACCUGCUGUUCGCUCUCCAGGUCAGUCUUUUGUGUGAGACAGAAGGACAGUUUUGGAGGGAGCAGAGGGGCGAGUGCUGUAAUGUUGGGCUUAGGGCCAGACUAGGCCUGCUACACAAGGCCAAGCCCCACCACAAUGCUCUGUCUCUUUCUCUCUCAGGCACUCUCUGAGUCUCUCUCCCUUUUCAGUCCUGGUCAGCUAUCAGAAAAACUACAACCCGCUCCGCUUUAAACGCCUCGAUACACGAAAACCUCGUCCUCACGAAUACAAUCAAGGUUUUUAGUCCAUAUUAAAAGGUUUAACGUUUGAAAAUGGGUCAUCGCUGACACGUGGCCACACACAGCGUUGAUGAAGCACAAACAGGCCUUUUGGACCGACCGCUUAUUAAGUUUUUUUUUUUUUACGAAUGUGGUUCACACACACGUUAUUCUCAUUUUCUCGAAUUUUCUCUACAUGCAUAAGCAAUUAAAAAACUACAAGGCAGUCAUUGGAUCCGAUGUUUCUCUACGGAGCGACUGGACCUUCGUAAUUUUUAUAAACCCAAUUGAAGAAUUAAUUUUAAGGUAAAUGGACAUAAAUCACACACCUGCUUCAUUCUCUAGACAGAAUAACACCUCUAAUAUCGUCUUCACUGCAUCGUAUUUUCACAAAAUAAAAAAAAGAUAUAAGCCACACCCCCUUCGAUGCCUCAGGAAUCCCAUCUCUUAAUUAUUAUUCAUAAAUCAGUUUCAUGAACAGGCGCUAAUUGAAGAAGCUUACACUUAAAUGGACUUUGCCUGUCGCUGUGGCUUUGUGUUCAAUACCACAGCACAUCAGACAGUACCAUGACCAGUAGGUAGGAGUGUAGGCAGUGUGAAUCAUCACUGAUAGCUCUAGUCAUCCCACCUACGUCCCACGUUACGCACUACAGGGCCUUAUGUGGGCUCCACCAUCACCCCCUCCCCUGCUCCCCACACACCCACCCCCCCCUGGCAGGGAACCCUACCUCUGCUUCUCUUAUUAGGUGUGUCCGGACCCCCUUUUCUGAGACCCUAAGCUUGGUGCGAUUACGAGCGAGUACGUCAGCAUGCGUCACUGCCGAACACCAAUCAGCUCCCACGGUGCAGCCAAAAAAAUGCAGCAGAAUCAAAUGAGAUCGUAUUUUUUUGAUUCUGCUCUCUUCUCUUCGAUUUUCUCCUUUUCUACCGUUUUCUAUCGUGACAAACGAACGCUAAUGUUUGCGCAGACUCGUGACGCUUUUUACCACCAAAUGACGGCGUUGAAUACAGAGAGGAAUACUAUUUUAAACACCAACCAAAUUCACUUUUACGUUCGUUUUUGAUGUAAAACGAUCUAAAACAUCCUCUGUGUACUUACGUCUUCGUUUCGUAUAAAUCGAAAUGAAAUAUUAAAAUAUUAGCUCUCUGAAUGUGAGUUAAGAGUUAAAAAAGCAAGAGACGAUGACGAAAAACAACUUAGAGUCUAUAAAAAAAUGCUGAUUUUUAAGAGUGAUUAAAAAAAAAAAAUUUGGAUUGCUGUAAUAUCAGAAUCUGUUACCUCUACAUCAGACACAAGGAGCCCAGAAUCACCAGCAGUGUUUCUAAUGCUAAAAAAGUGAUGUUGAUAAAAAUUGCAGAUUUUGCCGACACAUCAAAUCCUCAAAGACAGAUUAAAGAUUGCUUGACUUUGAAAGCUAACAAAAAGACUGCGGCACCACAUCGUAAACUACACACAGGACUCCUGCAUGCACAAACGCACCCUCAGACACACACACGCAGGCAAACACCCAGACACAUUUGAUGCUAUGUACCCCACAAUGAACCCUGGUUCCUGAGAUGAAUGGGGUUCCCACGCCUCUUCCAAGGAUUGCAGGGCACAGCCUCCCCUUUUGAGCACACACACACACACACACACACACACACACACACACACACACACACACACACACACACACACACAAUGCACCUACUACAGAUGGCCAUACACAGGUGCAUUUGAGUACAACACAAGCACACACUCUUGCAGUGAAAAGGCACAAGGACACAUUUUAAUAGACACACAAAACAGACACACUUAAAAUAUUGAUUGUGUUUCAGAGUAUUCACUGCCUGGAUGAGCAGUUAAAAAAAAACACAGCCGGACUUAGAUUUCUGUAUGGAAGCCCUGCAGUGACCCGCCGUCAUUUCAGUGAAGGGUUAAAUCUGUAAAUCUGUAGACAGGAAGGGGUCUGAGGUAUUAGAUGAGUUUGUGUUGUUUGACUUUGAGCUGCAUUCAAGUUACACCUCCUCCGGUUUUAGUGGUACUGUGUGUGUGUUUGUGUCUCAUUGUGAGAGUGUGUAAGAUUGAGUGUGAGAAUUUGUCGGUUUGAGGUUUGUUUUGUAAAGAGAAAUAAAAUGAAGCAAAAAGAAAAGCUUGUUCGAUAUUUAGCAUUUUAUUUUCAAAAGAUUCAGCAACAUGAAGUCUCCAAGAGAGAAAACCACAAAGUGUGUGUGUGAGUGUAAGUGUGUUUUUUUUUAAUUUUUUACAAAAUUCCUUGACAUAAAUUAAGCUUUUAAAUUUAAAAAUGUGGUUAAUUCACUAGAAAUGGCAAAUAUCAUAUACAACCUUAAAUCCGUAAUUUUAGGUUUUGUAAUAAUAUUUUUAAAAUAUGAUUGAAGGUUAUUUUUCAGCUUUUUUCCUCAUUUUUAAAUUUAUGCAGGAGUCUCACUUUGAACUCUGAAAAUGUAGUUUAUUAAAUUGGACAAAACUUCAAUUACACUCUCUAAUAGAGGACGGUACUUUGACUAGAAUGACUCACUUUGACUUCUGAGCAAGUGUGUGUGUGUGUGUGUGUAUGUGUGUGUUUCGGUGUGUGUGUGCAUGUGUGAGUGUAUAUGUGUGUGUGGUAAUGUGGUUAAAUAUUUAUUUAUAUUUUGUGUUGGUGUAUGUAAUUCAAAAUGAAAAGAGGAAAAUGUAUUUUGGUUAAAAUCAUUGAUUUUAUUUUAAAAACAGAUAUGAUUUUUUUUCUUUAAUGCUUUGAUGUUUUUAAUCUGCAACCAUUGUGAAGCUUUUACAUUUUAUUUUUAGAAACUAGAAUUAUGUCACAUUCAAAAAACAUUAAUUAAAAAUAAAAAAUCUACAAAAAUGUUGAACAAAAAGCUAACUGAAUUUAUUAUUCUAAUGAAGCACAGUAAUUUAUUCCCUCUGGUAAUUUAUGAAGCUGUUUUCCUCAGCUUCAUCCACACACACGAGUGAUUUUGGUGAUGAAGUUAUUGGGGUCUAAAAUCAGCUGCAGUGUUUGGAGCUGUGAUCCCUCUGUCACGUGUCCUAUCAGCCCUAAUGAUUCACUCAAGGAACUGCUGCCUGGCAGGUUUAUGACCUUAAGGCUACAUGGAUACAUUGGUGUGUGUGUGUGUGUGUGUGUGUGUGUGUGUGUGUGUGUGUGUGUGUGUGUGUGUGUGUGUGUGUGUGAGUGUGAGUGUGUGUGAUUGUUUUGUGAUUAUAUAUUUGCACAGCAUUUUUUUAUGAAGACCUGACUGUGUGUGUGUAUCUACAACUACAGUGACAUGCUUUUUUCCUCUCUUAUUUGCAGGGCUCGUUGUUUUCAGUUCAGCUCAAGCCUGGAAGUCAAGGUAAAGUGCAAUAUUCUGUCUUUUAAAAUGUUCUUGUCUUACAUAUUUACUUCACUCUGUGUGUGCGGGAUCCUGUGUGUGUUUGCGUGUGUGUUUGUGUGAAAGAAUGCCACCACACUGUGAUUUCGGGCAGGUCUGCUGCAGGGAUUAUGAAUCCUCCGGUUUCCUCCCCUGCAGCCUGCGUACACACAACGCAAUUUAUACAGUUUGUCAUGAGUUUAUUGAACACAGUCCGGCCCACAUUGUUCCCAGCACACAGCAGUGACUGUAGCAGUGAGCGUUGUGUCCCAUCAAAACCCACUCUGGAGCAUUGUGUGUGUCAUGUCAUCUGAAUCAGUAAGUCUGCGGUGCGGCUCACUGAUAAUCUCCUCAAAGAAAAUUAGUCGGGGAAAAAUGGGAAAAGAAAAGCCAUCAGCCUAAAGGUCAAAUGAAGAUUAGAGGGAAACAGUACACGAGGGCACACCGGCUGGCACCCGGAACUGCACAAAGGCCUCAUUGUGGCAGGAGCCCUGGGCUCUCCUCACACUCUCCUAGUGUUCGUGGGGAGUCAUGACACCUGUUGGUGACUUUGGUCAACUGCAGGAGAAGUGACCUGACGCCUCUAAAGCCUUUAUUUUGAUUUAAAAGAAUUCCUAAACCCCCAACUGUCCCUCAUAAUUUUAGAUGCAUUACAAUGCAGUAGAGACAAAUACUGGACAACAAAAAAAGAGUGUGAUUCCAUUCAAAUGAUUAAAAGAAAGUAGAAAGAAAAGUACAUGCCUUUUAUCGUACUGAUCCUGAUUCAGCAGCCGUAGUCCACUCCAACAGGCAUAUAGGGUCCGCUCUCCUCACUCACUACAGUGGUUAUUGUCAAAUAACUUAAAGUUUUGCUCCUGAUAGUUUAACACAGUUUAAGGGUUUGUUGAGUUGUGUGUCAAAAAUGUUCUUGGAAAGUUUUGCUGCAGGGUGUUUUACUUCUAUUUAAAAAAAAAAAAACUACUAUGACGUGUUUGACAGACUGAAGACGACAAUCUUUUCAGGUAACUGCUGUAGAAAAAAACAGAGAUAUGCAACUAAAGACACAAGGUUUAUUCAUCAGUCUGCAGUCUAAAUAUGAAUUCAACACUUGGGUAUUUUCAAUUCUGUGCUGUUGUUUAGGCUUUAAAAACAGCAAAUUGCAAAAACAAAUUUCCCCUCUGAUAUUUCUGCCUCUUUUAGGACAUAAUGUUGUAUCACAACAAUCACAGUGAUGACAAAUUACUUUCACAUUUAUAUUAUUUUUAAUGUAUUUAAUUUAAAUAAAUAAAUGUCCAUAAACGGGUUCCUUGUGGAUGACCCAGACAUUAAGCCAGCGACUUUUAGAGAGUGUUUUUCAGAAAGAAUUGAAAAAGUUCAUGUUGAGGUCUCUGAAUUUGUCAGACCACAACAUUUUCAGUUUUGUCUGUAUUAAAAUUGAUACUUGCGUCACUCACAUCCUGUUAUGACGCUGACAGAAAUCUCAGAGACCAGCAGAGGUAACAGUAAAAUAUAUCCUCUCCAAAUGGCCUAAAUCUGCCCUUCAAGUAAAAGAGCUGCUCCUGUGUAAACCUGAUAACCGGCUGUACACACAUCAGCAGUGUAAGCAAAGAGUGCUCUGCUGUAUACCUCACAGGCCUGGACAUUAAAUAGCUCCUGUGAAGAUUUGUGUGGCAUUUAUGGGAAAACCAGCCGGCAAUAAAAUAGCCGCAAACUGGUGCGUUCCUGCGUGUGAGGAGCUAAAGCUGUGACUCACUUUUAUAAGUCGGACCUCACCUCUCAACCUCAGGUCCUCCCUGUCGCUCCCCAGCUUAAGGGGAAACCGCAGCCUCUCCUGUCUGACUCAGGAAACUCCCUGAAACAACCACAACCUGUCUUGUUUGACCUCUCAGCCACACACGUAGCGAAAUGUAUGCGCAUUUGCAUAAAGAUUUCCUGUGACACACAAAUAAGCUGCGGGCGAAGAUUGAGGGUGAAAAUUAAACAGAAUAGUUUUAGGUUAAUGGUGCAGUUUAUCACUUGUUACCUAAGCCAGCAGGUAACAGCACAGUCCCCCCUGCUGAUUGCCAAACAAGAUCCUCAUAAAUAAUCUAGAUAGAAGACGCUCUCACUCUCUCUGUGUUCAUGUGCAUGCAUACAAACUCCUGCAUUUAUAUGCAGGUGUUGAAAACAAACAGGCACAGAUUCGACUUUUCGUGCUUUACUUUCUGCUACACUUAUGUGCAGUUUUAUGUGCACAGGGGAGCACUGUCAGUAUGUGUAGGACAAGAGGUGAAAGUGUGACCUUUUGACUUGAAGUCGCAGCUCACUCCUUCUUCUCGUUUGUCUCCAUCAGGAUGAGGAAACCUGAGAGGACGAGAGCUGUUACAUGGCACAGACCUGCUGAGAGGAGCUGACUUAAUAGACAUGAAUGACCAGUAAGUAAAGAAAGGGCAUUUUUGGAUUUACAAAAAAUUCAAGCAUAAAGGUAUGAUCGUCUUUGACACACAUUUAGCUAGCUUAUCCUGCUCUGUCUCACAUCAGAUAUUGAUCUUAAAUCAAAGAACAAACAAUCAAAACACAGAAAAACAGUAAAGCAGUGAAAUUCAUCUGUAUGUUAGCAUGGAUACGAUACAUCCUCACAAGUUAAAACAAGUUUAGACUCUAUUUUCUAUCCUCUCUAAAUAGUAUUAAAGUCCUUUACACCUGAGUGUGUGUUUGUAAAAACGUAAAUUAUUGAAUUACAAUUCAAACAAUUGAAAUACAGUGGAUACAUUAGCAUUAGCAUGCUAAAGCAAUGGUAACCUUUAGUUCCUUGUGCAGAUUCAUUUGACACAUCAGUACUUCAUUAAAAAGUUUGAUUAUCUCAUGUCCAAAGGAUUUUAUUUGGACUUGAAACAACUGAAAUAUGAAAUUUCGCACAUUUAAAGUGUGUUUUUAGUUUUUCUUACAGCAGGUGGACCGUCAACAACAUGCUGGAGAAAAACUGUCCUUUGGGGUGAGGUAGUAGGUUGUAUAGUUUUAGGGUCAUUCCCAAGCUGUCAGAUGACUAUACAACUUACUGUCUUUCCUGAAGCGACUGUGAUGGCAUCAUCAUCAUCAUCGUCGUCGUCAUCAUCACAGAAGAAAAUAAACCUCCUCGCUCCAAAUCCUGAUCUCAACGGU